GAUGAACGCUGGCGGCGUGCCUAAUACAUGCAAGUCGAGCGAACUGAUUAGAAGCUUGCUUCUAUGACGUUAGCGGCGGACGGGUGAGUAACACGUGGGCAACCUGCCUGUAAGACUGGGAUAACUUCGGGAAACCGAAGCUAAUACCGGAUAGGAUCUUCUCCUUCAUGGGAGAUGAUUGAAAGAUGGUUUCGGCUAUCACUUACAGAUGGGCCCGCGGUGCAUUAGCUAGUUGGUGAGGUAACGGCUCACCAAGGCAACGAUGCAUAGCCGACCUGAGAGGGUGAUCGGCCACCCGGGGACUGAGACACGGCCCAGACUCCGACGGGAGGCAGCAGUAGGGAAUCUUCCGCAAUGGACGAAAGUCUGACGGAGCAACGCCGCGUGAGUGAUGAAGGCUUUCGGGUCGUAAAACUCUGUUGUUAGGGAAGAACAAGUACAAGAGUAACUGCUUGUACCUUGACGGUACCUAACCAGAAAGCCACGGCUAACUACGUGCCAGCCGCCGCCGUAACAC
rnacentral:rRNA from 1 species